AGAGUUUGAUCCUGGCUCAGGACUAACGCUGGCGGUGCGCCUAACACAUGCAAGUCGUACGAGCCCUUCGGGGCGAGUGGCAAACGGGUGAGUAACGCGUAGGCAACCUGCCCUUCAGAUGGGGACAACACCUCGAAAGGGGUGCUAAUACCGAAUGACGUUUCCUGGUCGCAUAACCUGGAAACCAAAGGCCGGGCAACCGGUCACUGAAGGAUGGGCCUGCGUCUGAUUAGCUAGUUGGUGGGGUAACGGCCCACCAAGGCGACGAUCAGUAGCCGGUCUGAGAGGAUGAACGGCCACAUUGGGACUGAGACACGGCCCAAACUCCUACGGGAGGCAGCAGUGGGGAAUCUUCCGCAAUGGGCGCAAGCCUGACGGAGCAACGCCGCGUGAGUGAAGAAGGUUUUCGGAUCGUAAAGCUCUGUUGAGAGGGACGAGAGAUAUAAUCAGGAAAUGGGUUAUAGAGGACGGUACCUUUCGAGGAAGCCACGGCUAACUACGUGCCAGCAGCCGCGGUAAUACGUAGGUGGCGAGCGUUGUCCGGAAUUAUUGGGCGUAAAGGGAGCGCAGGUGGGAAAGUAAGUCAGUCUUAAAAGUUCGGGGCUCAACCCCGUGAUGGGAUUGAAACUACUUUUCUUGAGUGCAGGAGAGGAAAGCGGAAUUCCUAGUGUAGCGGUGAAAUGCGUAGAUAUUAGGAGGAACACCAGUGGCGAAGGCGGCUUUCUGGACUGUAACUGACACUGAGGCUCGAAAGCGUGGGGAGCGAACAGGGUUAGAUACCCUGGUAGUCCACGCCGUAGACGAUGAAUGCUAGGUGUAGGAGGUAUCGACCCCUUCUGUGCCGGAGUUAAC
rnacentral:rRNA from 1 species